rnacentral:rRNA from 1 species
AUUGAACGCUGGCGGCAUGCUUUACACAUGCAAGUCGAACGGUAACAGGGUGCUUGCACCGCUGACGAGUGGCGAACGGGUGAGUAAUGCGUCGGAACGUGCCGAGUAGUGGGGGAUAACGCAGCGAAAGUCGUGCUAAUACCGCAUACGUACUGAGGUAGAAAGUGGGGGACCUUCGGGCCUCACGCUAUUCGAGCGGCCGACGUCUGAUUAGCUAGUAGGUGAGGUAAAGGCUCACCUAGGCGACGAUCAGUAGCGGGUCUGAGAGGAUGAUCCGCCACACUGGGACUGAGACACGGCCCAGACUCCUACGGGAGGCAGCAGUGGGGAAUUUUGGACAAUGGGCGAAAGCCUGAUCCAGCCAUGCCGCGUGUCUGAAGAAGGCCUUCGGGUUGUAAAGGACUUUUGUCAGGAAGGAAAUCCCUAGUGCUAAUAACACUGGGGGAUGACAGUACCUGAAGAAUAAGCACCGGCUAACUACGUGCCAGCCGCCGCAGUAA